GUGAACGAGCGACGCCGCGUGGACGAUGAAGUUCUUCGGAACGUAAAGUCCUGUCAUAUGGGAUGAAAAAUCGAUUGACGAAUAAUCUUUCGAUCUGACAGUACCAUAAGAGGAAGCUCCGGCUAACUCCGUGCCAGCAGCCGCGGUAAUACGGGGGGAGCAAGCGUUAUUCGGAUUCAUUGGGCGUAAAGGGUUCGUAGGCGGCCUGACAAGUCAGGGGUGAAAUCCAACGGCUCAACCGUUGACCUGCCUUUGAAACUGUCUGGCUUGAGUAUAGGAGAGGAAAGCGGAAUUCUUGGUGUAGCGGUGAAAUGCGUGGAUAUCAAGAGGAACACCCGUGGCGAAAGCGGCUUUCUGGCCUGAUACUGACGCUGAUGAACGAAAGCUAGGGGAGCAAACGGGAUUAGAUACCCCGGUAGUCCUAGCCGUAAACGAU
rnacentral:rRNA from 1 species